rnacentral:rRNA from 1 species
AUACGGAGGGUGCAAGCGUUGUUCGGAAUCACUGGGCGUAAAGGGCGCGCAGGCGGUUUGGUAAGUCAGAUGUGAAAGCCCACGGCGCAACCGUGGAAGUGCAUUUGAAACUGUCAGACUUGAGUACUAGAGGGGAAAGUGGAAUUCCCGGUGUAGAGGUGAAAUUCGUAGAUAUCGGGAGGAAUACCGGUGGCGAAGGCGACUUUCUGGCUAGAUACUGACGCUGAGGCGCGAAAGCGUGGGGAGCAAACAGGAUUAGAUACCCUAGUAGUCC